UACGGGGGGGGCAAGCGUUGUUCGGAAUUACUGGGCGUAAAGGGCUCGUAGGCGGCCAACUAAGUCGGACGUGAAAUCCCUCGGCUUAACCGGGGAACUGCGUCCGAUACUGGAUGGCUUGAGUAUGGGAGAGGGAAGUGGAAUUUCCGGUGUAGCGGUGAAAUGCGUAGAUAUCGGAAGGAACAUCAGUGGCGAAAGCGACUUCCUGGACCAAUACUGACGCUCAUGUGCGAAAGCGUGGGGAGCAAACAGG
rnacentral:rRNA from 1 species